UUGAACGCUGGCGGCAUGCCUUACACAUGCAAGUCGAACGGUAACAGGUCUUCGGAUGCUGACGAGUGGCGAACGGGUGAGUAAUACAUCGGAACGUGCCCGAUCGUGGGGGAUAACGGAGCGAAAGCUUUGCUAAUACCGCAUACGAUCUACGGAUGAAAGCAGGGGACCGCAAGGCCUUGCGCGGACGGAGCGGCCGAUGGCAGAUUAGGUAGUUGGUGGGAUAAAAGCUUACCAAGCCGACGAUCUGUAGCUGGUCUGAGAGGACGACCAGCCACACUGGGACUGAGACACGGCCCAGACUCCUACGGGAGGCAGCAGUGGGGAAUUUUGGACAAUGGGGGCAACCCUGAUCCAGCAAUGCCGCGUGAGUGAAGAAGGCCUUCGGGUUGUAAAGCUCUUUUGUCAGGGAAGAAACGGUGAGUUCUAAUACAGCUUGCUAAUGACGGUACCUGAAGAAUAAGCACCGGCUAACUACGU
rnacentral:rRNA from 1 species